GAUGAACGCUGGCGGCGUGCCUAACACAUGCAAGUCGAACGGAGAUUUAACGCUGACGAGACUUCGGUCAAAUCUUGUUAAAUCUUAGUGGCGGACGGGUGAGUAACGCGUGGGCAACCUGCCUCAUACUGGGGGAUAGCAGUUGGAAACGACUGAUAAUACCGCAUAAGCGCACAGCAUCGCAUGAUGCAGUGUGAAAAACUCCGGUGGUAUGAGAUGGGCCCGCGUCAGAUUAGCUAGUUGGUAAGGUAACGGCUUACCAAGGCGACGAUCUGUAGCCGGACUGAGAGGUCGGACGGCCACAUUGGGACUGAGACACGGCCCAAACUCCUACGGGAGGCAGCAGUGGGGGAUAUUGCACAAUGGAGGAAACUCUGAUGCAGCGACGCCGCGUGAGUGAAGAAGUAUUUCGGUAUGUAAAGCUCUAUCAGCAGGGAAGAAAGACUCGCAAGAGAGAUGACGGUACCUGACUAAGAAGCCCCGGCUAACUACGUGCCAGCAGCCGCGGUAAUACGUAGGGGGCAAGCGUUAUCCGGAUUUACUGGGUGUAAAGGGAGCGCAGACGGUUAUGCAAGUCUGAAGUGAAACCCCACGGCUCAACCGUGGGCUUGCUUUGGAAACUGUAUAACUAGAGUACUGGAGAGGUAAGCGGAAUUCCUAGUGUAGCGGUGAAAUGCGUAGAUAUUAGGAGGAACAUCGGUGGCGAAGGCGGCUUACUGGACAGCAACUGACGUUGAGGCUCGAAGGCGUGGGGAGCAAACA
rnacentral:rRNA from 1 species